AUGAGUUUAACUGGAAGUAGCCUUGCGUAGCUUUGUAAGGCUUAACACAGUUGUUCGUGUCUGGAUUUCGUGUUUGACCCUAGCGUGCCUAAUAGGAUGAGAAGCUUGCAAUGACUGUAAUCUUCUAGUUUGGCCUCCUGUAAAGAACAGACCUUAAUUGCAGGUGGAGGUAAAGUCUGGAGAAGAAUGUGAAGGAAUUGUCUUCAAAGAGAGGGCAGAACUUUACAGCUGGGCCAGAGAUGCCGCUCAGCGGAAGGAGCUCUUGGAGAGCUGAAGCUCCUCUUCCGGACACAGCAGAAGUAUUCCAGGAGCCUCGUGAGAAGGGGCCGAGUUGCUGAGGUGUGUGCAAAGCAUGUCAUCGCCACAGAAAUGAACUCAUUGCCCUCUGAGACAUCAAACUGCUUGAAUUUGGACAGCUACAGGUGAUGCUGACGGUGAAGUGGAAGUAGAGCGAGUUGCGGUCAGAUUAGAAGUUCAAGACCUGGCUGAUUCUUUCGAGAGCAGAUUGAAGAAUGCCAGCAGAGCUUGUCAGAGCUGCAGAAGGGCCAGCUCUCUGUGGCAGCGGAGCUGUCAAAGGACACCGGCCCUGUUGUUGUGUAUUUGGACGUUUCUGCCAGCGAUGAACCUUCAGGACACACAGCCACGGAGCUGCUUUCACACAUUGUCCCUCGGACGGCUGAAAAGCUCAGGGCCCUGUGCACAGGGGAGAAAGGCUCGUGGAUUCAGGAGUACCACGUUUCACAGGAUAGUUAGUGACUUCCUAUGUCAGGUAAGCUUAACGUGAAGGCUUUUCACGGAGAGAAAAAGCCCACCUGGGCUGCAGCACCGCAUGGAUCCUGCCUGAAAGUGGGCUUUUCCAGUUUUUGACUGUAGUGAGAGUAGCCAAAAUCAGCAGGGCUGCUGUCAGCAGCGACGCCUCAAGCUUUCCCGACACUUCUAGAGAGGAUCACGUUUGAUUCUUGGGGAGCUGUGACUUCAUGGGAACGCCACAGCCUGCGUGUGAGACUUCAUUUUGUUCGUGCUGUUAUCUGCCUGAUGGCUCCUCUUUGACAGCUGUUUGAUUUGUGGGCUCUUAGAGCCAGCUUUCAGCCUUUGGCAGCAGCAGGAAGCGGAGCUCCCGACGUGUUGUAGGCAGCGUUUGCUCUGCUCAGGGGCCUUGGCUGCAGCGUGUGUGCAGAGAACAGCGUGCGUGUUUGGCAUGGCUGUGCAGCAGAGAACAGAAAUGGUAGUUUUGUCAUUUUUCAGUGCCUCCCAGGACAGCACUCUGUGGUAGAUCAGAAAUUGGUGUGCGUGUUGGAUUUGCUGUUUAGCAGGUGCAUUCUCCUGCUGCAUCUCUGUGCAUCUCUGUAUCCUACUGUACUUUGACU